UACGGGGGGUGCGAGCGUUGUCCGGAAUCACUGGGCGUAAAGGGUGUGUAGGUGGCGCGCUAAGUCGGGUGUGAAAUUUCGGAGCUUAACUCCGAAACUGCAUUCGAUACUGGCGUGCUUGAGGACUGGAGAGGAGACUGGAAUUCAUGGUGUAGCAGUGAAAUGCGUAGAGAUCAUGAGGAAGACCAGUGGCGAAGGCGGGUCUCUGGACAGUUCCUGACACUGAGACACGAAGGCCAGGGGAGCAAACGGG
rnacentral:rRNA from 1 species